rnacentral:rRNA from 1 species
UACAGAGGCCCCGAGCGUUAAUCGGAAUUACUGGGCUUAAAGGGUGCGUAGGCGGACCAGAAAGUGCUUUGUGAAAGCCCCCGGCUCAACCGGGGAACUGCGGGGCAUACUGCUGGUCUUGAGGCAAGUAAGGGUUGCGAGAACUAUAGGUGGAGCGGUGAAAUGCGUAGAUAUCUACAGGAAUGCCGAUGGUGAAGACGCGCAACUGGGCUUGUCCUGACGCUGAGGCACGAAAGCGUGGGGAGCAAACGGG